GAGUUUGAUUAUGGCUCAGGACAAACGCUGGCGGCGUGCAUAACACAUGCAAGUCGAACGAAAUCUACAUGAUUUAGUGGCGAACGGGUGAGUAACACGUGAGAAACCUGCCUUACACAGAGGGAUAGCCGUUGGAAACGACGAUUAAUACCUCAUGACACCGUGACAUCGCAUGAUGAUGCGGUCAAAGAUUUAUCGGUGUAAGAUGGUCUCGCGCCUGAUUAGCUGGUUGGUGGGGUAACGGCCUACCAAGGCGACGAUCAGUAGCCGAUCUGAGAGGGUGGACGGCCACAUUGGGACUGAGACACGGCCCAAACUCCUACGGGAGGCAGCAGUGGGGAAUUUUGCACAAUGGGGGAAACCCCUGAUGCAGCGACGCCGCGUGAACGAAGAAGGCCUUCGGGUUGUAAAGUUCUGUCCCUUGGUGAAGAUAAUGACCGUACCAANAGAAGCC
rnacentral:rRNA from 1 species